rnacentral:rRNA from 1 species
AUUGAACGCUGGCGGCAGGCCUAACACAUGCAAGUCGAACGAGUGGCGGACGGGUGAGUAAUGUCUGGGAAACUACCUGAUGGAGGGGGAUAACUACUGGAAACGUUAGAUAAUACCGCAUACCAUCAGAUGUGCCCCGAUGGGAUUAGCUAGUUGGUGGGGUAGCGGCUCCAAAAGGCGACAAUCCCUAGCUGGCCUGAGAGGCGGACCAGCCACACUGGAACUGUGACACGGUCCAGACGCCUACGUGAGGCAGCAGUGGGGAAUCUUGCGCAAUGGGCGCAAGUCUGAUGCAGCCAUGCCGCGUGUGUGAAGAAGGCCUUCGGAUUGUAAAGUACUGUCGGCGGGGAGGCGUUACCCGCAGAAGAAGCCCCGGCUAACUCCGUGCCAGCAGCCGCGGUAAUAC